GGGGAAUAUACCAGGAGACCAUAAUCAAGCAUCACCAGUGGCAUUUCAUACUGGUCCCAUGGUGUUAAUCCAGGUUUCUGGUAUUGCACUAAACACGAUGAAAAACAGGAGAGAACGGAGAGGGAUCAUGUUUUACCACAAUAUGCAAUUUAUGGGAGAGAUGAAGCGCUCAGGUGGAGAUGACUAGUGUCACGUGGUGUUUUAAGUGGAUACUCACAACGCUGGAACUCACAGCAAUAACAACAAGAGAUCCUCUAUAGACUGUUGAUGUAUAGCCAUGAGAAAAAAAAAAGAAAAAUUUUUGCUCUCAAUGAGCUUGCAUUUAAGCAUCUAUAAAAGGUGAGAUUAAUAUUUACUCAGUGAACUUUGAGUAAAGCAUUGGGUGCUUCAUUAUGUGGAGGAGUCUCAUCCAAUCAGUUGAAGGUGACUGAAUGGAACUAUAGAUCGACCUCACAUAAAUGAGAGGGAAUUCUGCAACAGAUCAUCUUUGCCUUUGAACUGCAGCAUGGACUCCCCUCUGGGUCUCCUGCCUGCCAGCCCACCCUGCAGAGUGCAUUUGCCAGCCUCCACAAUCAGGUAAUUUAUCCUGUGCAUUAACAAGAGGAAGUCUAGAGCCAUGGAAACCAAGUCAGGAAACUUCUCUCUUAUUAUUAGGUCCACUGCAAAUCUAGUUGAGACUGCAAAUCGAGGUUUUUCUCAGGGGAAGCCGAGCUCCAGACUAUUCAUUUGUCCUGAGGCAGCCACUUGAAACACAAUCAUUUUGUAUUUCUACGAUGUUUUGACCUUUUAUCCAAGUCAGCCCUAUAGAAUGGGCCAGGAGGUUGCUGCCACUGAAUAAGCCACUGUGAUUUUUAGCGUCAAGAAUUUUGCUGUUAACUAUGGCAGAAAAAUAGACAGAG
rnacentral:lncRNA from 10 species